UCCGUAGGUGAACCUGCGGAGGGAUCAUUACCGAGUUAGGGUCUCACCGGCCCGAAUCUCCCAACCCUUUGUCUACUUGACCAUCGUUGCUUCGGCGAGCCCGUCCUCACGGACCGCCGGGGGGUCUUCGUACCCCUUGGCCCGUGCUCGUCGAUAGCCCCCAAACUUGAAAAAUCUUUAACUAAACGUGUCUUGAAUCUAAGUAUUAUUGUUAAAUAAAAACAAAACUUUCAACAACGGAUCUCUUGGUUCUGGCAUCGAUGAAGAACGCAGCGAAAUGCGAUAAGUAAUGCGAAUUGCAGAAUUCCAGUGAGUCAUCGAAUCUUUGAACGCACAUUGCGCCCUUUGGUAUUCCGAAGGGCAUGCCUGUUCGAGCGUCAUUAUCACCCCUCAAGCCCUCGGCUUGGUGUUGGACGGUUUGGUGGAGGCCCCCUUUGCGGGCCUUUACCCCUCCCAAAGACAAUGACGGCGGCCUCGUUGGACCCCCGGUACACUGAGUUCUUCACGGGACACGUAUCGGACUACGGGUUUACGGGACACGGUCUGCCUCCCCUCAGGGAGAAUCUUUUUUAUCAAGGUUGACCUCGGAUCAGGUAGGGAUACCCGCUGAACUUAAGCAUAUCAAUAAGCGGAGGA
rnacentral:rRNA from 1 species